rnacentral:rRNA from 1 species
AGAGUUUGAUCCUGGCUCAGGAUGAACGCUAGCGGCAGGCCUAACACAUGCAAGUCGAGGGGCAGCACGGUGUAGCAAUACACUGGUGGCGACCGGCGCACGGGUGCGUAACGCGUAUGCAACCUACCCAUAACAGGGGGAUAACACUGAGAAAUUGGUACUAAUACCCCAUAACAUCAGGACCGGCAUCGGUUUUGGUUGAAAACUCCGGUGGUUAUGGAUGGGCAUGCGUUGUAUUAGCUGGUUGGUGAGGUAACGGCUCACCAAGGCAACGAUACAUAGGGGGACUGAGAGGUUAACCCCCCACAUUGGUACUGAGACACGGACCAAACUCCUACGGGAGGCAGCAGUGAGGAAUAUUGGUCAAUGGACGCAAGUCUGAACCAGCCAUGCCGCGUGCAGGAUGACGGCUCUAUGAGUUGUAAACUGCUUUUGUACGAGGGUAAACGCAGAUACGUGUAUCUGUCUGAAAGUAUCGUACGAAUAAGGAUCGGCUAACUCCGUGCCAGCAGCCGCGGUAAUACGGAGGAUCCGAGCGUUAUCCGGAUUUAUUGGGUUUAAAGGGUGCGUAGGCGGUUUGAUAAGUUAGAGGUGAAAUUUCGGGGCUCAACCCUGAACGUGCCUCUAAUACUGUUGAGCUAGAGAGUAGUUGCGGUAGGCGGAAUGUAUGGUGUAGCGGUGAAAUGCUUAGAGAUCAUACAGAACACCGAUUGCGAAGGCAGCUUACCAAACUAUAUCUGACGUUGAGGCACGAAAGCGUGGGGAGCAAACAGGAUUAGAUACCCUGGUAGUCCACGCAGUAAACGAUGAUAACUCGUUGUCGGCGAUACACAGUCGGUGACUAAGCGAAAGCGAUAAGUUAUCCACCUGGGGAGUACGUUCGCAAGAAUGAAACUCAAAGGAAUUGACGGGGGCCCGCACAAGCGGAGGAACAUGUG